rnacentral:rRNA from 1 species
GAUGAACGCUGGCGGCGUGCCUAAUACAUGCCAGUCGAGCGAACGGACGAGAAGCUUGCUUCUCUGAUGUUAGCGGCGGACGGGUGAGUAACACGUGGAUAACCUACCUAUAAGACUGGGAUAACUUCGGGAAACCGGAGCUAAUACCGGAUGAUAUUUUGAACCGCAUGGUUCAAAAGUGAAAGACGGUCUUGCUGUCACUUAUAGAUGGAUCCGCGCUGCAUUAGCUAGUUGGUAAGGUAACGGCUUACCAAGGCAACGAUGCAUAGCCGACCUGAGAGGGUGAUCGGCCACACUGGAACUGAGACACGGUCCAGACUCCUACGGGAGGCAGCAGUAGGGAAUCUUCCGCAAUGGGCGAAAGCCUGACGGAGCAACGCCGCGUGAGUGAUGAAGGUCUUCGGAUCGUAAAACUCUGUUAUUAGGGAAGAACAUAUGUGUAAGUAACUGUGCACAUCUUGACGGUACCUAAUCAGAAGGCCACGGCUAACUACGUG